AGUAGGCGGGCCCUGGGCCUGGGUGGAGUUGUGGAGGGCCGCGGGGUCCCCGCCUUCCCGAUUUCCCGCUUCUCUCCCCCCCCCCCUCAAUGGCGCUGAAGGCCCUGCCGAGCUCGGGGGUGGCAUUCCGCCGGAUCCUGGCUCAUUUCCCCGAGGAGCCGAGCCUGGCUUUCGCCUACGGGUCCGGAGUGUACGGCCAGGCGGGGCCCAGCGCCGAGCACCAGAACCUUAUGCUGGACUUUGUGUUUACAGUGGAUGACCCCGUUGCUUGGCAUUCAAGGAACCUGCAGAAGAAUAGGACCCAUUACUCUUUCCUAAAAUUCUUCGGGCCAAAAGUUAUCACUGAUGUUCAGAAUAAUUAUGGGGCUGGCGUUUACUACAAUUCAAUGGUCCCUUGUGAUGGGAAGCUCAUCAAAUACGGAGUCAUUAGCACAGAUGCUCUGAUCAGAGAUCUGCUUGACUGGAAUACAUUGUACGUCGCUGGACGCCUGCACAAACCAGUGAAGAUCCUGGCACAGAAGGAGAACGGUUCCCUGCGAUUUGCCCUCGGUAAGAACCUGAAGAGUGCUGUCACUGCCGCUUUCCUCAUGCUGCCAGAAAGCUUCUCUGAAGAAGACCUCUUCGUCCAGAUUGCUGGACUCUCCUACUCUGGUGACUUCCGGAUGGUGUUUGGAGAGGAAAAAGCAAAGGUGCAGAAUAUUGUAAAACCCAACAUAGCUCACUUUCGAGAGCUCUACAGUAAUAUCCUGCAGGAGAACCCCCAAGUGGUGUAUAAACUUCACCAAGGCAAGCUAGAGUUAGAUAAAAGUCCAGAAGGUCAGUUCACUCAGCUAAUGACUUUGCCAAAGACCCUGCAACAGCAAAUAACUUAUAUCGUGGACCCUCCUGGAAAGAACCGAGAUGUGGAAGAAACCCUAUUACAAGUCGCUCAGGAUCCUGAUUGUGGCAUGAUGGUGCAACAGGGUCUUUCAGGAAUUGUGCGCCUCUCUAGCAUAAUGCAGAGUGCCAAAGGAAUCCUCACAGCUGGGUGACAGAUUCUAUAGAAGCAAGUUUCUUUGUCAGUUAUGCCCUACACUGAAGCAGCUACCUAAAUAGCAGGUGUGGGGAAGUCUAUGAUUUACAGUUCGAGGAAAGUGUACAAGAUGUGGAAGGGAUGGUUGAGGACGACAUCCUGACAUCUCUUGCUUUUGAAUAUUCUGUGUACAGAGGAAUAAAGUGACUGAUCUGUUUUGUCAGAACAUGAUUUGAUCAUC